UACGUAGGGUGCAAGCGUUAAUCGGAAUUACUGGGCGUAAAGCGUGCGCAGGCGGGUAUGCAAGACAGAUGUGAAAUCCCCGGGCUUAACCUGGGAACUGCAUUGGUGACUGGCAGGCUUUGAGUGUGGCAGAGGGAGGUAGAAUUCCACGUGUAGCAGUGAAAUGCGUAGAGAUGUGGAGGAAUACCGAUGGCGAAGGCAGCCUCCUGGGCCAACACUGACGCUCAUGCACGAAAGCGUGGGGAGCAAACAGG
rnacentral:rRNA from 1 species